GGAGGACAGAGGCAGCUGAGAAAAGCCACUUCCUUAUAUACCACCUUCCCAAUCAUCCUUUGGGGCACUAGCCUGAAACUGCUCAAACUCGGAAAACAAAAGUUCCUGCUGACCCAGCCACAUACAACCUUACAGGAAUGGGAGGAAAAAACUGGGAAGGGUGACAUUGCCCAAAAAGGAAUGACUCUUCCCAGAAUCCCUUCUGAAUGAGACAUGGGAGAGCCUGGGUCUUGGGACCAGUCCUGUCUUCAUUUGCCAACUGAGGCUGGAGGGAAGAAAGAGUUUGCCCAGAGUUCCAGAAAGAAGCAAGAUAGAGCUGAGGCGGAACCCCAGGACUGCCGCCGGCAGCCUCACAGCACAGUAGCUGCUCAGGAGCUCCCUACCUUUCUCUGGCUUGAUCUUGAACUUCAAGAUCCUCCUGCCUCAGACUCUUGAGAAUCUGGGAUGACCCAUGCGGAGCACCACCAUGCCCAGUUUAUGGAUUGAGAUGAGGUCUUUAAUUUGUCUUGUUUGUUUUCCCCCUUGGGCUGGAACU